rnacentral:rRNA from 1 species
CUCAGGACGAACGCUGGCGGCGUGCCUAAUACAUGCAAGUCGAGCGGAACCAUUGGAGCUUGCUCCUUUGGUUUAGCGGCGGACGGGUGAGUAACACGUGGGCAACCUGCCCUGCAGAUCGGGAUAACUCCGGGAAACCGGUGCUAAUACCGAAUAGUUUGCGGCCUCUCAUGAGGCUGUACGGAAAGACGGUUUCGGCUGUCACUGCAGGAUGGGCCCGCGGCGCAUUAGCUAGUUGGUGAGGUAACGGCUCACCAAGGCCACGAUGCGUAGCCGACCUGAGAGGGUGAUCGGCCACACUGGGACUGAGACACGGCCCAGACUCCUACGGGAGGCAGCAGUAGGGAAUCUUCCGCAAUGGACGAAAGUCUGACGGAGCAACGCCGCGUGAGUGAAGAAGGUUUUCGGAUCGUAAAACUCUGUUGUGAGGGAAGAACAAGUACCAAU